GACGAACCGUGCAAACGUUGUUCGGAUUCACUGGGCUUAAAGGGUGCGUAGGCGGGUGGUCAAGUCAGGGGUGAAAUCCUUCAGCUUAACUGGAGAACAGCUUUUGAUACUGGCCAUCUUGAGGGAGGUAGGGGCAUGUGGAACUUCCGGUGGAGCGGUGAAAUGCGUAGAUAUCGGAAGGAACGCCGGUGGCGAAAGCGACGUGCUGGACCUCUUCUGACGCUGAGGCACGAAAGCCAGGGGAGCAAACGGG
rnacentral:rRNA from 1 species